rnacentral:lncRNA from 1 species
AGGACACUGCCUUCCAGCCUCUGCAGAGAGCUCACUUCUGUUAGGCUCACUCUGUACCAUUCUCUUUCUUCAGCAAUCAACAUUUUUAUUUAGAAAGCUGCGUGUCUGGAAGGCCCGGAGUCCAGGUUGGAGGCUGCUAGAGGCCACAGAGGAGACACACUGGUGCGAAAACCCAGAAGACAAUAUUUCAGGACCCUGGCUUGAGACCUGAAUCAUUCCCCGGAAGCCGAAGGAGCGCCUGCCUUCAGAGCCUUUUAAUUGCAGGACUAAAGACUGAAUGGCGGCCUUGUUCAGCACCAAAGCCACGUAGGGUCCAGCCAGGAAUUGGUGAACCAAGCAGAAAAUUCCAGGGCACGGGCCAUUCCGGGCACCGGUUUGGAAGCCUCCACUCCCACAGCCUGACCUAGUGAGCCGGGCCGCAGGCUGCCAUGUUUGUGGUCCCAGCCCUGGUGCGGCUGAGCUCCAACAGCUGGGCCCUGCGGGGGGGACGGCGGGGAGAGGGCGAGAGGGACCCCAGCACAGGCCAGGACGAGGCCCCUGGCUGUGACGGUGGGCCGUGGCCUGGCCCCUGCAUCUCCAACAGAGCUCUCCUUGCCAAACUUCAAGCCUCCUCCCUGGAAAGCAUCCUGGUCUCUGAGAUGACAGGCCACAGCUUAGAGGGUUUCUUGUACACAGUCUGUGCUUCCUGAUGUUUAUUGAGGGAAAUUUGAAUACAACUGUGUGGCCUGGUGUGAAGGUCUUUGCUCUGCCCUUUACUGGCUGUGUGACCUUGGGCAAGUCACGAAACAUCUCUGACACCCCAGUGCUUGGACCUAUUCAAAUGGGAAGAAUGGACCAUCUCUCAUUGGGUUGUCACCAGAUGAAGAGAGAUAGUAAAUGCUGAGGGCUUUGAAUAAAUGCCCGAGUUAUUAGUCUUAUGGAAC